GUGGGAUAUGGCGAUAUGUAUCCACAAACUGGAUUUGGAUACAUCAUUGGAUCAUUAUGUGCAAUUGCUGGUUUGCUAACCAUAGCAUUUACUGUGCCCAUUAUUGUGAGCAAU
rfam:Lottia gigantea unplaced genomic scaffold LOTGIsca_180, whole genome shotgun sequence.